GACGGAGGAGGCAAGCGUUAUCCGGAAUUAUUGGGCGUAAAGCGUCCGCAGGCGGCUUUUAAGUCUGUUGUCAAAGCCCACAGCUCAACUGUGGAUCGGCAAUGGAAACUGGAGCUAGAGUGUGGUAGGGGUAGAGGGAAUUCCCGGUGUAGCGGUGAAAUGCGUAGAUAUCGGGAAGAACACCAGUGGCGAAGGCGCUCUACUGGCCACAACUGACGCUGAGGACGAAAGCUAGGGGAGCGAAAGG
rnacentral:rRNA from 1 species